ACGCUCGACACCUACGGUAGGCAGCAGUGGGGAAUAUUGCACAAUGGGGGAAACCCUGAUGCAGCGACGCCGCGUGAGUGAAGAAGUAUUUCGGUAUGUAAAGCUCUAUCAGCAGGGAAGAAGAUGACGGUACCUGAGUAAGAAGCCCCGGCUAACUACGUGCCAGCAGCCGGGUAAUCUGAGCGGGCUGGCAAGGC
rnacentral:rRNA from 1 species